UUGAGAGUUUGAUCCUGGCUCAGAACGAACGCUGGCGGCAGGCUUAACACAUGCAAGUCGAGCGGGCGCUUUCGGGCGUCAGCGGCGGACGGGUUAGUAACGCGUGGGAACGUGCCUUUUGCUUCGGAAUAGCCCUGGGAAACUGGGGGUAAUACCGGAUGUGCCCUGAGGGGGAAAGAUUUAUCGGCAAGAGAUCGGCCCGCGUCUGAUUAGGUAGUUGGUGUGGUAACGGCGCACCAAGCCGACGAUCGGUAGCUGGUUUGAGAGGAUGAUCAGCAACACUGGG
rnacentral:rRNA from 1 species